rnacentral:rRNA from 1 species
ACACGUCUACAUUAGAACCCGGGUAGUCCCAGCCGUAAACUAUGCGCGUUAGGUGUAUCGGUGACCACGAGUUACCGAGGUGCCGAAGGGAAACCGUGAAACGUGCCGCCUGGGAAGUACGGUCGCAAGGCUGAAACUUAAAGGAAUUGGCGGGGAGCACCACAACAGGUGGAGCCUGCGGUUUAAUUGGACUCAACGCCGGGAAGCUCACCGGAUAGGACAGCAGAAUGAUUGCCGGGCUGAAGACCCUGCAUGACUAGCUG